rnacentral:lncRNA from 1 species
AUGUGCAGUGCAGCUUCAAGGAGAUAGAACCUUUUCAUCGUGACGUAGCAAAUAAGAGAUUGGAACGCAUAAUAACAAUAAAAUGAAGCAGACUAGUUUUCCAAUAAAGCAGCAAUCUUCAAUUAGUAGCAACUUUGAAGCUGUGAAAAAGAAGAAAAGUAACUGUUGAUGUCUGGCACAAGGACUGUGGAAACAAUUUUUAAUGCCAGCAUUCCACUCUACAUAUUAAAAAAAUGAAGAUUCUUGGCAGUGGAUUAACAAAUUCAUUGAGGAUUCUGGUAACACCUCAAUAUGUGGGAACGAUAAAGGGGACUAUAGUGCCAUCAACACAACAAUGGUAUAAUCGAGCAGCUAGCAGCAAACAAUGUCAUCAUAUUAAACAAAAAGACCACUAACAGGAGAGGUCAUUGUGUUUUCACUGUUGUUGAGAACUGCUGAAGUGUGGAACAAGCAGAAACGUUUUGUUGCAAGUAUACAGGUUUUUGAGACAGCAAACUCAACACAAUGAGCUCGUGCAAUUUUGAGGGACCUUUCAGAAAUACUGUAUAUGGUGGGAUAAUGUGAAAGCAGUAGUGAGUGACAGUAACAUGAACACAUGUGUUGAGUCUUUGAAAACAAUCUUAGAUGAUCAUUUAAACCACAGAUGGGCAACCAACGGCCUGGAUCCAGCCCACGAUUGGUUUCAAAUGGCUCCCAGAAGAAAUUCACAAAGUUACUCCUAAUUAUUUGUCAACUAGUACUGCCUAUCACAAUGCCCUAUUCUUUUCUUCUAUUCUUUCUCAUAUUAAUGCUAGUGAAUAAUUAUUGUCCAUUGUGGAUCUAUUAGAACACAACAACUGUUGAGAUGGAAGGUAAUUUAUAAUGAAUUAGCUGCAACUAGUUGCUUUUAUAGGCAUUUAUUUUCUCAUGAUGACAUUUCAAGAUAACUGUCAACCAAUCUCCAGAAUUUCUUAUUUAAUUAUGUGUCAUGAACAUUGUUUCUUUGCUAACAGCAAUGCAGAAUUUUGCAAUGGAAUUUUUUAAGACAACUAUUGUAAAACAUUGUAACUAAAGAUAAAAUGUUCACUAUGCAUAAAUAAAUGCAAGCAUCUGAAUAUGGGGUGAAAAUGAAACAAAUGUACCCUGAAAAACGCAUGUUUUGAUGCAUGAUUUGUUGGUGUGCUGUGGCAGGAGAGAGGUGCCAUUCAUACUGGUGUGUUCCCCUAGAAACAUUAAUGUCAUGGAUGGUACAAUUUUCACUUUAUGUGCUUGGAGAGUUGCUGUUGCGUCACAUGAUGAAGCAACCCAUGAGCUUAAUUUAGAAUGUGAAUGAGGCCCAUGGGUCCCAAAGAGUGCCCAGGCCUGAUGUAAACCAUUCAAUGCUUGGUAAAUAAACUGAAUUUGACUGAAAAUGCUUUUUUUGAAGGAACUUAGUAAGCUAAACUCCAUGAUACGCAAUUUAAAGAGUGCUUUCUUGAACACAAGGAAAAGGAAAAAUUUGAUUUUUCCUGUUACAGUUUUAGCACACUGGAACUCAUAGCUCUCCACAGACACUUACUUUGCAGAAUAUUUUGAAGAAAUGACUGAAUUCUUC